GACGAACGCUGGCGGCGUGCUUAACACAUGCAAGUCGAACGAAGAGCGACGGAAGCUUGCUUCUAUCAAUCUUAGUGGCGAACGGGUGAGUAACGCGUAAUCAACCUGCCCUUCAGAGGGGGACAACAGUUGGAAACGACUGCUAAUACCGCAUACGAUCUAAUCUCGGCAUCGAGGAUGGAUGAAAGGUGGCCUCUACAUGUAAGCUAUCACUGAAGGAGGGGAUUGCGUCUGAUUAGCUAGUUGGAGGGGUAACGGCCCACCAAGGCGAUGAUCAGUAGCCGGUCUGAGAGGAUGAACGGCCACAUUGGGACUGAGACACGGCCCAGACUCCUACGGGAGGCAGCAGUGGGGAAUCUUCCGCAAUGGACGAAAGUCUGACGGAGCAACGCCGCGUGAGGGAUGACGGCCUUCGGGUUGUAAAGCUCUGUUAAUCGGGACGAAAGGCCUUCUUGCGAAUAGUGAGAAGGAUUGACGGUACCGGAAUAGAAAGCCACGGCUAACUACGUG
rnacentral:rRNA from 1 species